CCUACGGGAGGCAGCAGUGGGGGAUAUUGCACAAUGGGGGAAACCCUGAUGCAGCGACGCCGCGUGUGGGAAGACGGUCCUCUGGAUUGUAAACCACUGUCCCCAGGGACGAAGAUGACGGUACCUGGGGAGGAAGCUCCGGCUAACUACGUGCCAGCAGCCGCGGUAAUACGUAGGGAGCGAGCGUUGUCCGGAAUUACUGGGUGUAAAGGGAGCGUAGGCGGGACUGCAAGUUGGGUGUCAAAUCUACCGGCUCAACCGGUAGCCGCACUCAAAACUGCAGUUCUUGAGUGAAGUAGAGGCAGGCGGAAUUCCUAGUGUAGCGGUGAAAUGCGUAGAUAUUAGGAGGAACACCAGUGGCGAAGGCGGCCUGCUGGGCUUUUACUGACGCUGAGGUGCGAAAGCGUGGGUAGCAAACAGGAUUAGAUACCCCAGUAGUC
rnacentral:rRNA from 1 species